GUAGGUGACAAGCGUUGUCCGGAUUUACUGGGUGUAAAGGGCGCGUAGGCGGACCGGCAAGUCAGGAGUGAAAUACUGGGGCUCAACCCCGGGGCUGCUUUUGAAACUGUCGGCCUUGAGUAUCGGAGAGGAAAGCGGAAUUCCCAGUGUAGCGGUGAAAUGCGUAGAUAUUGGGAGGAACACCAGUGGCGAAGGCGGCUUUCUGGACGACAACUGACGCUGAGGCGCGAAAGUGUGGGGAGCAAACAGGAUUAGAUACCCUGGUAGUCCACACCGUAAACGAUGGAUACUAGGUGUAGGAGGUAUCGACCCCUUCUGUGCCGCAGUAAACACAAUAAGUAUCCCACCUGGGGAGUACGCACGCAAGAAUG
rnacentral:rRNA from 1 species